UACGAAGGGGGCUAGCGUUGCUCGAAAUCACUGGGCGUAAAGGGUGCGUAGGCGGGUUUUUAAGUCAGGGGUGAAAUCCUGGAGCUCAACUCCAGAACUGCCUUUGAUACUGAAGAUCUUGAGUCCGGGAGAGGUGAGUGGAACUGCGAGUGUAGAGGUGAAAUUCGUAGAUAUUCGCAAGAACACCAGUGGCGAAGGCGGCUCACUGGCCCGGUACUGACGCUGAGGCACGAAAGCGUGGGGAGCAAACAGG
rnacentral:rRNA from 1 species